UUAUGUACAUGCCUACAACAUAGUGUUAAUGCACCAGAUCCCAUUAGAACUCUGCAAUUAAGCGUGUCCGGGCUAGAGUAGUACUGGGAUGAGUGAUCGCCUGUGAAUUCCUAGUGUUUUACAUGCC
rnacentral:rRNA from 1 species